CUGGCUUUCACAUGGGCUGUAAUUUAGUUCAAUUCAGAACUGCAGACAGUACAGCUUUCACAGAAGCAAGGGAUGCCUGAGCACAAGUGGCUGAGUUCCGAGUGACUUUGUGAAGCACUUUCCUACCUCCCUCCUUCAGGAAAACGGGGAUUCUGCACCUGCAUCAGGGACAGUCUGGCAAAAGCCUCUGCUGUGCCUCCGGGGACAAGGAACUAGCACAAAUAACCAUUUUGAAAUUGGAUCUUGGCAAAAUUUGUAACGAAACCAUAAAGGAAACUGAAAGUACUGUGAUCUUCCUCUUCAAUGACAGUCCCACAAAAGUUGAAGAAAUAUGUUAUGUCUCCAAAGAAGAGUACAGUCGUGCCCUAAAAUUAGGACAUGAUUAAGAAGCAAAUGUACAAAUGUGGAGACACUUCUGCAUGAAGACCGAGUUCAUAAUGUGCACAUCCAAAGCAUUGACAUUGAUGCCGUAUCCAUGGUUUUCAAAGGGGAGGGUAAUCUGUGAUAACAAAAUUGUAUCCCUUCCUUCCUGCAAUUACCUCACUAUCCUUACAGCCUUGACAUCUGGAAACCCACUGCUACAGUAGCAGCUGUGAUUCCUGUUCGACAGCAGGAAGUUGACUACACAUUCCAAAGCGCCCUAAUUGUUUUGAUAUUUUCUGGCUGUUUAAGGAGCUUGGAUAUUGGAGAACACACUAUUUCGUACCAACCGCAGUUUGGAACCAUACACCAAAGUGUAUCUUGUCACACUCUGAACCACUUACACGUAUGGAAGCUUGUCUUUUUCUUCAUGAUAGAUGACUGUUCAUUGUGGUCAUAGUCCAAAGUUAGCCAUGUUAGACAUUGCACACUUUAUUAGAGAAUUAAACCUGAUUUUGUUCAUAAUUACACUAUUUUCCGUAGUGUAUUUGGUGGUUUUGCCUCUGCCAUAAUUUUCUCAAGUAAUCAGCAUGGAGGAAGGCUUAUCCAAAGACGUGCUCCUAUCUAAAUACUUGGAAGAGAAUUGAUCGAUUUAAGUUAGAAAUGGUAUUAGUUAGUAUUAGAACAGUAUCAGAGUAUUAGAGUCGUAUUGUGAGAAUCAUCAUGCCUUGCAUUUGGCCACAUAGGGCCUCACUUAACAGAGACUUUCGGAUCCUUAUCAAUCUGCUCGAAAUCAAAAGAUCUCCCAAAGUAGUGCAGAAUUACUAGUAUUGGACAAACACAAUUCUGUUUUAUCUUCACUAAAUGCCUGAAACUAUUUCGUGUUUUUGAGCCAGUAAAAUUAUAAUAUUGUUUAUUCAGAAUGCUUUUAUUCCUUAAAAAGAAUCAAAAGAAAUAACUACUGUGCUGUUUUACUGUUAAUUAUCUCUAAAAUGGCUACAAAUCAUAGUUAUCUUCAUUAUAAGAGCAUUAGUGCUUUUUUUACCCAUCAAAUUAAGAAUGAAAUGGAUUUUAGUAACACCCUACAAUUACCUUAUUAAUCAAAAUUAUUACCAGUGAUCUCCUUGAAGCCAAACUGGUUUGUAUGGAACAGGUUGAGGAUUGCUGUCAUUCAGAGCAUAACUCUGCAAAAAUAUAUUGACAUACUAUUUUUAUUUAAUUUACAAAUUUUACUAAGGUUUUCCUCUUUCCUGUAUUACACCCAAAAUAUAACAAUAUCUCCCAUUGUAUAUGUUUAUUUGCCUUAAUCUCCAAUUUAAUUUAAUUUUUCUUCUUGCUUAAUUACUUCCUCUGGAAUUUUAUACUCAUAAGUGAUUAUAUCUCAAUCUCUCUCUCAUAAUUAAAUAGUUUAUUUAAAAUAAUUAUAUAUGUCUUCUAUUCUAGUGACUGUAAUCUCUGAUAUUCCCUUCUGGUUAGAAAUAUUUUUACACUGGAUUUAUAAUAAAUUCCCUGUGAUAUUGAUUCCAUGUAUGCUUAAGUAUUUUUUCCGUUUUAUCCACUGUUCCUGUGAUAACCAGAAGUUAUUGUGCCUUCUCCUAGUGUUUUAAUACUCCAAUGUAUACUGCGUGUUUAAAUAACCAUAAAAGCACUAUUUGCAUAGUUAUUGGUUUGUUUACCUUCACUGCUCCAAAAAGUCUUGCUAGGCAAUCUGCCUGGGGCUGAUACUUAUAACCAUUAGCAAUUAUGGAUUCCAGAAAGUUGUUGACAUGAAUUUUUUUAAAAAACCAUUUCAAAAUCAGAUGCAAAAUAUUCAGUGUAUUCCUAGUGUAGUUUUUUGUUGCCAUUCAUGCUCUUGCCCUUCUUAUUAUCUUAACUAUAAUUCACUUUUAAUCAGCAUGCACUGAGUAAAUAGGAAAUUCUGUAUUAACCUUGGGUUCUUCCUAGACAGUCAUAGACAGAUGCAUUAUUUUAAAAAUUUUAAAGCAGAAUUAUUUUUAUAUGAUGGUGUUUUUACACAUCGCUUAUGUGUUGCAGGGGUUUGGGUAAUAUGCCAGUGAUGUACUUUUCAUUGUCAAGGAAUACAUCUACACAAAAGAGGCGCGGGUGCGCCAUCCAGCAGGUGGGGACUUCUGUCAAGUGACUUAUGUAUUGAGCUCUGGGGGAGAUGCAAAGAAGAAUGCAUAGGACACUGCUCUCAGGGAGGUUACACUCUAGAGUCUGUACUAAUAAUAUGCCACCGAUGGGCAACAACAAAAGCUAGGCAAAGACUUUUUAACAGAAACCUCUCCAUUCGUCCCCACACUGGGAGAGGAAACAAAAGAAGCCUCCGUUUCUACUGAGUACAAACCACUUUCUGAAAUAUUUAGAAGAACAGCAUUAACGAAGAGUUCAGUUACGAGCUUUGGUUGUCACUUUGUUUGCUUGUUGAUGGGUGUUUCACAGAAAAGCCUGGUGAGAUUGCAUCAUCCUUAGAGUGUGAUCUGCACCAGAAAUAGUGCUGAAUAAGCGUUUUCCUUUUUCUUUCAUUUUUUAAAUAACUUAAUUUUCUAAAAAAACUGUCAAUCAUAAAGUUGACUUUCAGAAUUUUGUUAUGUCAUGAUAGAACAAAAUGUAUCAAAAAAGAAAAAAUAAAUACUAUUUGUGCGUAUGAUGUUUCACCUUUAAACUAUUUCCAACCUGACUUCAGUAGUUUAUGAUCAAGAUUUUAGCAGUUUAUUGUCAAGAUAGUAAAAUUUGACAGAAUAGAAAUAUGAUUUUUGGCCUUUAAAUAUACUGCUUCAGUCAUCCUCAAAAUUCCACCCAGACAAGAAACUGGAAAUAGUUCCUAAGCGUGAGAAUAGAGGACAGAAACAAAUGAUAUUUAUAUAAUAUUAAAUUCAGUCUUGGCAAAAAUAUUCUUAACUCGGGAUCUAUUUUUUUAAAUUCUCUCUCAUUUUUUAAAAAUUAAAAGAAUCAAAAUGUAAAUGCUUAAGACCUAAAGUUUACUGGAUUCUGGAAACUAUCACUGGCAUACUGUGGUCUAAAAACAAUAUUUGUUUUUGACAUAAAUUUACAAUGAGCUACCAAGACUAUGUGCAAAUCACAACGAGUGAUUCCCUUUGUCAGGUUUUCCAAAGAACAAGACAUAAUAAAUCUAUUAUGAACAUCUCCCAGAUCAUAUUUCCCCUUAAAAUGUAACAUGCACAUUUAGAAUUUAAAGCUAAAAAAUGUCUUAUAAGCAAAAUAUAUCCUUCCUCUUUAAGAAACGUAUAGAAGAAGAGAAGAAAACAACAAUGCACUUAAUUCCUAAGAUACAAAUGCCAGUAAACUGCACACAUCAAGACUUGGAAUUAGAGUCUAGUCACUUUAAACCCAGAUGUGUGUAUUUUGAGCACAUUUUUUUGAGCACUGCAUAGUCAUAAAGUAACCUAAAAUAACAAUGAAAGAAAACUAAGCUCUGCUGAUAAAAUACACUUUACCUUUUAUGUGGUGUUAACAAAAUGACUUAGAUGGAAAAUGAAAUCUGUCUUAGCUUAAGACAGAAGCACAAAGACAUUUCCCUUCUGGACAACAGACUUUGGCAUUGAAAGAUCAAAGGAACAAUUUUAUCUGCAUUGUGACUACAGACCAAAAAUUUUACAGUAUUCCUGUCUCCAUGCUAGAGCUUAUGUGUCUUUAAUGGCAUUUAAAUUAUAGCCCUUCUUCAGUCAAGCAGUCAAAACACCACGUCAUCUGAUGAGACACCAUAUUAUAAUCUGUCAGUAUGUCUCAUUUAAAAAUUCUCCUAUACUGUACUUGCCCUCAUUUUUCUCUUUUGCUAGAAAAAUGGAGCAAAUUGUUUUUUAAACUGGGUUUAUGAGUUGACCUAAUCAAGCUAGACAAAAGAUAUACUUUGGUUUAUAUUAUUUUAACUUAAUUAAUUUAAACCAAUUUGUAGAUUUUUUUUUCCUUUUUAUUGUGAUAACCCCUCUCCACAUUUUUUGCUUGUUUGUUUUUAGGGUUUUAAUCUUUCUUACAUAUGAAAUGAUGCAUGGUUUAUUAUAGACAGAUAUUAAAUGAAAAUCAAGAACCUGUGUCCAUUAGAGAAUUAUAGCUAAAAUAUUUUGUUCUUAAAGCAAAGUAUCUUAUGUUAAGCUAAUAUACAAUAGAGGGAUUAUUAUAUAUAAAUGGAAGGAGCUGUUCUCUGAAUUGUUGUGUAUCACACAAUAUAGAUGGUGUUUCAAAUGUCACUGGAGAAACAGGUCUUGAAUGUGUUCCUUUAAGGUAAUGUUUAUUGUACUGAUUUAGCAAUCAAAACUUUCUGAAAAUGAGUAUUUAACUUAGAAUGUUCCUGCAGUUAGGAAAAUAAGAUGUUACAUUUUCUACAGAAACUGAGUUUUUUCUCAAAAAUAUAAAAAUUUUAAGAAGUUUAUUAAAAAGAUAUCAGCAAGAAUUUGUAAUCAAUUAUCUUAUACCUUAAUACUAUCAAUAUUAUAUGUAUUUAUAAAUGGUUCUAACAAAUAUUUAAAAAGGCAAAAUUUAUUUUGUCUAGAAACAUGGUAGAUUAGUAACUGAUGGAUAACUUUGUUGCCAUGUUUCAAAAAUAUAACAUGGGAAUUCAUGGAUUUUCAAGUAGAUUUACCUAAGUUUUUAAAAUAAUGUUUUUAAAUCAUAUUAAGAUUGAGAUACAAGAUGCUUCUUGACAAUAAGUGAUUUUAACAUGCCCAUGGGAGGCUUUUUUUUUUUUAAUGAAAAUGACACUACCUUAGAUAAGCUUCAACUGAAAAUAUUUCUAUUAGAUUAUGUCCAUCUGUUUUGGAAAGAGCCAACCAUUACAAGUAAAUUGAUUCUUAAAUUUUCAAACGAUUUUGAACAACUUUUGUCACUGAUGAUUUUGUGUGGAAAAUCACAGAAGAGUACGCUGUGUGCUAUAUAUUGAGUAGGGAUGAUGGGAAUCACCAGACAUACAGUAGCUUUGAGGAGUUAGGUCUUUUUCCCAACCUAGAAAUGCCAGGGAUCCUUCAACAUAUUUUACUUACCUGAGGAACUGCAGAAGAUGUUUACUGAGCUUGGGACAAUUUAAUAUAUCACUUUUUCAUGGAAUCAGGAUUGGAUGUCUCCUCACUUAGCUGACAUUUGAUAAGAAAUCAUGACAAGUAUUUUAUUUUCAGAAUUUGAUGUAGCUAAAUGGGGCCUUAUAGUGCAGUAUUUUGAUUUAAAAUAUGUAUUUUUUUCCUGGGUAGCAAAAAAAAUAGUGAUUUUUAGGGUUGAAAGAAUAGAGUAGAAUAAGAAAUUCUCCAUGUAUGGAAAAUAGUUGAUUUUAUAUCUCCACUCUCUUCUAUCCUAAAACCCAAGAUAUAUCCUAGAAUUAUUUCUGGGAGUCUAUUAUUUGAUAAAUACAAAAAAUUAUAUGCAAUACAAUGAAUACUUAUAAAUCCACUACCAGUUUAAGAACUAGAACAGUACCAAAAGUGUUGCUUCUCCCCUCUUUCCCUUCUGCCCCAGAAGUUACAGUUAUCAAGGCCAUUACAUACAAAGUUGUGCAAAAUGUGUGCUUUACAAACUUACAAGGUGUGUGCUUUCAUAUCCAGCUGGGCCUGGUAUGAAUGAUGCCCUUUGAAGUGUGCAGUGUAACCUACACAGAUUUCACAAUGGCUCUGCCACUUUCAAAAACUUAUCUUUUUAUGUAUGUAUGAUAGUUUUGCUUGUUUAAAGCUUUGCAAAAAUGACAACAUUUCCUAAUAGCCUUACUAGCAUUAGCUUUUUUCAUGAAAUAUUAUGUUGCUAAGGGUCAUGGACAUUGUUGCAUAUAAUUAUAUGUUUGUUUACUUCACCACUAUAUAGUAUUCAAUUGUGCAAAUACCCUCAAUUUAUUUUUCUGUUCUUUGACAUUUGAGUUAUUGUCUGCUUUGUAGUUAAACAUGCUGUUGCUAUAAAUAUCCUUGAGUAUGUCCUUUGGUGCACGUGGGCAAGAAAUAUUCUAAUGGAUGAGAAUAGGAAUUUUGGAUAUCUUAAAGCUUAUGGAUGGAGUAAGGGUAUAUGUGAAAAAUAAAAUUUUAAAGUUCUGAUGAGGGUAUAUAAAGAAUAUUAUGAUACUCGGUUACAUAAGACUUUCUUUAAAAGACCCAAUUGUAAAUACUUGCAACAUUUCUAUGAGUACUGUUUGCGUAUAGACCUCAGUUCCAUUUAUAGGGAACUAUCUGGGUGGUUCUAUAAAAUGCCUGCCUUGCUAAAUCAAUCCAUCAUUCUAGUCCAAACCCAUUAGCUAGAAGAAGAAGCAAACCUAGAAGCCAUUUUGGUUAUCUUAACAUGGAUUAAAUGAAUUUAUUUUAAACUCAGAAAAUAGAGAUUAAAAUGAGAUGAUUCAGCCAAAGCAAAAAUGAUCAGUUUACUCCCCUUUCCACAUCCCGUUCAAAUUAUUUUUGGAAAUACUGAAUGCACACCAAAAGCUGAAGAGUGUGAUUAUGAUUCUAAGGAGGCAGGAAAAUGUACAGACAAUUAUUAGAUAGGGAUUUUUUUUAUCAUGUAAAGUAUAUAUAACCUAAAAUUUAGACCAUUUUUAAGUGUACAGUUCAGUGGCAUCAAAUACAUUCAAAUCAUGUGUAGCCAUCAUCACCAUCCAUCUCUGGAACAUUGUUUCAUCUUCCUAAACUGAAACUCCAUGCCCAUUACACAAUAACUCUGCAUCCCAUCCUUCCCCACUCCAGCCCUGGCAAUCACCAUUCCACCUUCUGUCUCUAUCAACUUGACUACUCUGGGUACCUCAAGUGGAAUCAUGUGGUGUUAGUCCUCUUGUGAUUGGCAUAUUUUACUUAGCAUCUUCAAGGUUCAUCCAUGUCAUAACAAAACUGCCUCAUCUUUUAUGGGUGUAUAAUAUUCCCUCGUAUGUAUACACCACAUUUUGUUAAUUCAUUUAUCUACUGAUGGACAGUUGGUUGCUUCCACCUUUUAGUUAUUGUCAAUAGUGUUGCAAUAAACAUGGGUGUACAAGUAUCUGUUUGAGUCACUGCUUUCCCUUCUCUUUAGGUAUGAAGAUUUUUAAGAACUCCUGUAAGUCAGCCUCCUGAGCAGCUGCUCCCCUAGGUGUCAAAAGAAAACCUAAAAAUACUUUCUUAAGACUGACAGAAGGAAGGAUAGAGACAAUAUACUUUUUAUACUUUUUCUUUUACAAUGUUUUCCUCUUACUUGAAUGAAUUCAUUUUUUUUAGGAAUUACAAUUAGAUACUGAUAUAAUAUCCUAUUUGUUAUUCUCUAACUUAAAUAAUAUAUAAUUGCUUGAGAAUUUUAACUUCAGACGUAAAGUUUUUACUUUAAAGCACACAUUUGAGAAAUGCAAUUUUUCUCAUGCUACUUCCAUUAAUAAUGAGUUAUAUUUGCAUGGAAAACUCGUUGGCAAAAUACUUUCUUCCACUUUAUUAUGUUAGCCAGCACUCAUGAUGUGAUGAUUACUUGAUAGUUGAGUACAUAGGUAGAUAGGUAGAAAGAUAGAUAAUAGAGAGAUAAAUAGAUAGAUGAUAGAGAGAUAGAUAACUAGUCAGUCUGGCUCAACUUUUUUUAUACCCAUUUUACAGAAGGGGAAACUGAGAUUUUGAGAGGUUAAGUGUACAAGGCCCUUCAAUUAGAAAGUGGCAGAAGUCAAAGUUCAAACUUGGUCUUCCUGGUAUCAAAACCCAUUUUAACCAUUAUAGAUUCUGUCUUCCCUUAGCUAUGCCAAUCCUCACCGCAACAUCAUGAAGUUUAUUGGGAAGUUGAGAGCUAUUCAUUUUCUCUUGAGGAAUGGAGUUCUGAGAGAUUAAAUCAUUUGUUUAAGAUUUCAUAGCUGAUAGGUGGUACAGCAAAAACUCGGGUCUUCUUUUCCAUUCUUUAUACUCCCCCUCCACCCCAUAACCUAUGCAGCAAUGACUGCCAUUGGUUUUUGCCGAAGUUAACAUAUUGUAUCCCAAAGUUAAAGUCUGAACUAUCUAAGCAUUGCGUGCUCAUGGAUUGGAAAUACCUUAAAUGUAUAUAUAUAUUAAAAAUAGGCAAAGUAUGUAACUUGCCCUAUGCCAUACUUCUUUUAUCAACAGAAUAAGCAUCAUACUUUAGAUUUGUUGAGUUUAAAAAUAGUUCUCCAUCAUCUGGACCUUAAUCUCAUUACUCUCAGGAAGAAUUACUGUGAGAAAUUUUCUUAAAUAUAAACUUAGAGUGUAUUUGUGCUUUUGUAGUAUUAAAAAUACUUUAAAGCUUUGAUACAAAUCCUGCUAGUCCUGAGCUGAUAUGGCAGGAAUUGUGCAGGUACUUCAAAACUGGAUCCUUCAAAGGGUUCCCACCUUAGCUUGUCUUUAUAGCUAACUGUAGAUCAUGAACACUGUUCAGUAUCUUCCAAAGUGUUAGUUUUUAAUCCACAGAAAAAUUCGAUAAUUAUUGCUAGAACGAUUUGUAACCUAGCUGUCUUUGAAUUUUAGUAAAUACAGAUGUUAUUUGUGCAUUACCACAUGGGGAAGAGCGUAUCUCAUAAAGGUACUUACUUAUUAUUUUUUGGAUUAAUCCAGUUUCAUGUCAAAGAACUGGACUAUAGUUUCCACACACUCAUAUGCAAAUGAAUAAGUAUAAAUAUAAUGAAUUUACCUUUCUUUUUGUAUAGACUAAAAAAUUCACCCUUUAGUCACUUCAUCAAAAUAUCUUUGCCCCUUUUAUUGUAAUGUCUUUUCAAAAAGAAGGGGGAGAAAUGCAUUGUAAAUGUUAAAAUACAGAACUAUAUGAAUGAAGUGCUUUUUAAAAAUCCAGACCCAAACCCUCUUAGGUUUUUAUUAAGAAAACAGAUAUUACAUCCUCUUAUUACAAGUGUGUUUGUUCUCACCUCUCCCACUGCUGGGCUUCAUUUCCACCUAGAGACAGCUGUAUACCACUCCCAGUAGUAAUGCCUAUGCUAUAACAUACCAGGGCUCAGAUGGCCCCUCUCUCCUGGAGAAUGAAUUAUUAGGUAAUCUCUACUUUUAUCCAAUUGAUUUCACUUCCUCCACAUUUCAAUUUCAUUAGCAUAAAACAGAACAGAGCUUAAUGAUUACUUAAAACUAAGAUCAAGGAAAAGAAAAAGUAUUCUGUUGGUAAAAGUAUUCUGAUGGCUGGUAAUAAUAUUAGAAUAUUUUCAGAAGCAAGCAAAGUAGAGUUCAUUAGAGAAAACUAGAAACAUACCUAUGUUUAUACUUUUAAUAGAGACACGACUUUAAACAUGCAAACAUUCGGAAAUACUUUUAUAACACAAUUUCGUUUCCAAAAGAGAAUGGUAAUUUGUCUUCAUUUUUCCCCAUUUAAAUGAGUAAACUUUGUUUUCCUUAUGAUGGAUUAGCUAACUGAAGAGAUUUUUUUUUCCCACACAAAAUAUAGAUAGUUGUUUCCCAGACGUCAACUUUGCAAAAAGCCUGCCAUUGACAGCUGAUGUGGUCAUGUGUGUUUGGAAGAGCUAUGUUCUGAUUCUCAGAAGAUACCCUACCAGAGUCCAUUUGUUUUCAAGUUUGUGAAGUGGCCCUUCUGUAAUGAUACUCUUCCUGUCACUUCCAAAUAUUCCCAUACAAAGGUACACAAAAAGGGAGACGCAGAAUGUUUUUUAAAACUCUGAAUAAUUUGAAGGUAAGACAUAUUCCACAAUAAUACAUGGGGAUAGAUGAGUAAAAGAGGGCAUUAACUAAAACAAAACAAAAUAAAGAAAACAAAAUAAGAUAAAAUAAAAUAUGGACGGUAGUCAAGAAAUCAGAGAAAGGGAAACAAAAUGGGGAAAUAAUGGGGGAGCUCUAUGCUUGUCUCUGCUUCAGAAAUAUGAAGAAUCUAUUGGGAAGGGGAAAAUAAAGUUUUAGAUGAUCUAUUACUUUACUUUUAAAAAAUUCACUACUUAAAACAAGGACAUUUUAAAAAAUAUAUAUACAUGUAUAUUACUAAAAUAUAGUUAUAUGUGAUACACACACACACAUCAAAACCAUCAGUGCAACAAUUCCUUUGUUUCUUAGAAACAACCACUAUGAUACACAUGAAAUUUAUUUUUUGAAUACAGUGUACUGGUAAGCACUGUAGCAAUUUCUAGAAUUUGGCCACUCUUCUUUAUGGUGGUAAUUCAGUUUGUAUGUGUUAACUUGAAUAUUUGGAUUUGAAAUUGCUGGAAUUUUCUAAUAUCAAAAUCCAGAGUAUUUAUGCUCUUUUUUUUUGCAUCUGUGCUAUAUCUAUAUUUUUUUUCCUUUUGACUUAUCUGUUCAGAAAUGGAUUUCUACUAAAUUUUCUUAGGUGCAUUUGACAAGCUAUUGCUGAAAAAUAUUUAUUACUUUUUUAUUGACCUACACUGUAGAUGUACUAAUGUGCUACUGGCCAUGCAAAUUAUAUACAACUGUAGGAGACAAACACAAUCUCCAGUUACAAAUGAAGGGCACACAUGGGUUAUCUAACAUGUGAGUCAUCAAGAAAUGCAAUAGUGUGCAAAGACCGGUGAAUCACACAGUCUGUAAAGCCAGCUUUUUGAGCUUUUCACACAGAUGGCUGCUGCAAAACCUAACAAGGAGUAAGGAGGAGGAGGAGGGAGAGGAAAGAAAGAGAGGGAAAAAUAAGUGGUGGUGGGGGCUCUCUAUAAUCAGUUUUUAUUGUUCCUUAGUUUCUUGACCACUGAACCAAUGACAGAAAGGAAACUUGCAGGUCUUUUUUUCACAAUUACCAUUCUCAUGUACGUAGCGCCGUUUGAAAAUUCUAAGACUGAUCAUAUUCAAUUUAGAAUUGUUCUUUAAGUCUUAUACCCUAUACACUAUAAAGUGCCUUGAGGAGUAAGUUUCUGUGUUGUUUAUCUAAUAUUGUCUUCCACUCUGUGAUAAGCUACACUAGAGCAUGGACCAUAGGCCUCGCAGUUUGCAACGACCUAGUACAGGAAAGAAAGAAGGGAGAAAGGAAGGUCUUCUAAUAUUAUUUUAACAUCUGUGAAAUGUAUUCACUCUUUAAAGCUUUGUCUCUUCUCUGUCCUCCUCGUCUUGAAACAAUUCAUGUCAAAGAAAGCAUCUUAGCACAAAAAACAUUAAUUGCUGAUGUACCACUGACCGUAUGAAAAAUAAACAACAACCCUGGUAAUUCUGUGUAGAAACUGUCCAUACAUUCAGUUACCCAGUGGGUAGGAUCCAAACUCCUUACUGCAGUGCUGAAAACUCUUCAUAUCCUCAGCUUAGAAACCGAGCAUCUUCAGACAUCCCCUUUGCCUCUCCCCUCACCCUGUGUUCCAGUCAUAUCGCUCUUAAUAUUUGUAUACUGUUUCCCUGGCACAUGAAUUGUUAUGCUCUGUUGCCUUCUCUUUAAAACUCUUUCUGCUUGGAAUGCCUUGGUAUGUACAUUUUUCUUCACAGAUAAUUUCUACUCGUCUCUUAGUGGACAAGAAUUUCUCAAAACUUUCCAGAAUAUUUGCAUGGACUUUGUAUUUAGAGAAGAGAAAACAUUAAAACAGAAAAGGGUUUAGGGAUUGUGUAACCCAGCCUUUCCAUUUUGCAGCUAAGGAAACUGAGGCACAGAGAGAGGAUACUGCCCAAAGUCACCCACGAAUGAACCAUAAGGCCAGGACUAAGUACCCAUCCCUUGAUGUUCUGUUCAGUGGUGAUCAAGUCUGCCUUAGAUUCAGACAAUUCUGGAAUUGACCUUGGGUAAUGUGAUAACCUUUCCAACUCUAAACCUAAAAUUGGACAUAAAAAUAGGUAAUCUAAGACAGUUUCUUUCUUUCCUUCCUUGUUUUCCUAGUCUUCCGUGAUUCCCAGUUCCGCCAUUUAAUUUCAGAAAGAACCAGGAUACGGCAGCAGAAGAUAGUGGUUAGCACAUAAACUAUGGGGUUAGAAUUUUUGGUUCAAAUCUUUUAUCUGGGUCCUUUGGGCAGGGCCUUUAACGGCUGUGCCUCAAUUUUCUCAUUUGUAAACUGAGAAUAAUUAACUUGUUGAAUUCAUUCAGACAUGCUUAGUCGGAGCUUUCUGUUCUAGGCUUUGAGGCUUUGGCAGUGAACCACACAAAUAGAAGCUCCAGCGGAGGCUCCAUUCCAGGGGAGAGAUAAUCAACUGAUAAGCUCUACCUGCCCUCUCCUUCCUCCAGCCCACAGUAAGUGCGCUUUCCUCUGCCCAGGAGUUGUCUUCCUGCAGCUGCCUAAAGCACCAGCUUCCUCCCGGCAUUCAGGUUCUUACAAUCACCUUCACUGGGCACCCACUUUAUAUUUCAAUCCCACCCUUGUCCCAGUUCAGUUCCCUUUUCUGCUCCAUUUCUAAAAAUAAUGACUCCUUAUUACUGUCUAACGCAUCAUAUGUUUUUAUUCAUUUGUCUAGUUUACGUUGCAUCUUCCUUACUCAAAUGUAAACCCAUGAGGGCAGGGAUGUUUGUCUGUUUUGUUCUCUGCUGUAUCUGAAGAACCUCGGCCCACAUCAGUAUGGGCCUAGUGCGGGCCUGGUAUCCAUCAGGUACUCAAUUUCUACUUAUUAAGUGACUGAAUUAAUAUCUAGUGUCAUGUGUAAUGGUGAUAUUUGCAAUUAAGCAAAAUAAAACAGAAGUAAGUGUGUAAAGAGAAACAUCUGGGUGCUAUUUUAGAUAAAGUGGUGAGGGCAGGCCUUACUAAGAGCUUGACCUUUGACUAGAGACAUGAAUGAAGUGAGAAAAAUAAGCCAUGGGGAUAACUGACAGUUGAACAUUCUAGAUAGCAGGAGCAGCCUGUGCAAAGGUCCUGAGACUAAUUCAUAUUUGACAUGCUCUAUUCAUGGCAAGGAGACACAAGUGACUAGAGCAGAGUGAGUGAGAAGAGAGGUAAGAGACAAAGUGAGAGAAACCACUCAGACCACUCAUGUAACCCAUGGUGAGGACUGCGGAUUUGAUAAUAAGAGAGCCAACCAAAUUGAGGUGUAGAGAGAUGUUGAAAGAGUUGAAGCCAAGUAUCUGGCCUACACACAUAUUCGAUACAAGUUAGUUACUGUAUACCAGGGAUUGAGUCGUGGUUGUAAACUAUAAAUGAAGGCAAUGAGAAGAACAAAUAAUUUCCUUCCCAAUCUCUACCCUUUAUGACAACAACAACAAAAUGCACAGAAGGCAACUUAGGAUAGAAAGAGACAUGUGGAAAGUUUUAUUGAAAAAAAAUAUAUAUAUAUAUGAAGACUUGGUAUAUAUAUAUAUAUAUAAGAUGGAUUAUAGUCUUAUUUUUAAAAAGGCAUAUCACAUGUAGCAGUCACACUCAUAGAACCUGAAACAUUCUAGUCUUAGUCUGUGUUAUGGAUUUUUCUGCACUUAUUUUUACUCUUACAAUAUACAGCUGUAUUUUAUCAAAUAAUCAGUUAAUGAAAUGACAAUAGUUUCCUGUCGCAGAAUUUGUGUAUUCCAAACUACUGUUUGAUCUCACAAACACACCAAAACACUACCAGCCAGACCAUCUCACCUCUUUAAAAUAUCCCCCCCUUGGAGGAAAUGAGUCUUUACUAUUGAUAACGUCAAUCCAAAUUCUGUAUAUGUUUAUAUUUAUCCUAAAGCAAGAAAGUACAUGGUAACAUUAAAGAUUGGGCUUUACUAUAUACCUCAUUGAUCAAGAUUUGGUAUUAUUUAUUUUCUACCUUCAGCACAGUUUCUGGAAUUUUCAAUAAAUAUGAUGGCAUUUCUGAAGAGAAAAAUUCCAAAUCACCUAGUAAUUAAUUCAUUGUCAAGGUGGCAAUAAUAGAGUCAGUGUAACACCGAAGCAUGUUCGUUCAACCUCACCAGAGAAAGAGGUAACUGCUUUCUUAAAAGACUCAAAAUAGGAGUCUUUGAGGGUUUUUUAAAAUUAGGGGCCAUGCUUAUACUUCAUUAUUUAGUCCAAUUCUUGUGUAAUAGUGAGCAUCUAAUCCAUUUAGCAGCUUUUAUUUGUCAAGCUAAAAAAGCAUAUGCUAUAUUUAGUUCCAACAAGAAUUGUAGAAAUCAGUUGAAAAAAUUCGCAUAGAGUUGGUAGAACAUGUAGGCUUUUAAUUAUUUUACUUGUCCAAAGGGCACGGCAAUUGGGCAGACUGCCUGCUAUACAUUAUAAAUUAAUUCCAUUUGUCCUGAAAACUUGUUCAUUAUUUCAGUACUUUGAAUUUUGGCUGCCCUAAUUAAUCUCUGUUUUAUAAUUCAGGCACUGAACCUCUGCAAAGGCUGCAUUUUUCCAGCCUGUAAUCGCACUCUCGACAGACAGCCAAAUGCUGGGGACAAUGGCUCCUUCACCCUCUCAACUAUACCUCGGCUUCUGCGGAGACAGACUUUCUGUCUCUGAUUUAUGUGCUGAGUCUUCCUGGAGAGAAAUGCCUGGGUGGGGAAAUGCACAGCCCUAAGGUAGAUUACUUGCCUCAGUCUUUGGCCCUAUCACCCGACUGUUGUCACUUGAGUACUGGUAGAGAGCCAAGAGGCACCUUGGAAUAUUCACUAGAAGUUACAAACCCACCCCACAGUCAGCCUUUGCAGGUUACAUCUGCUUUCAUUUAAAUCCAUGCACUGUGAAGCGUGUUGUACUCAAGGGUCUUGAUGCUGCACUUCCUCACCAUGGCAGAGGGGCCUGGAGCAAAGAGACACGGGUAGGCGCACCUGCCAGCUCAGGCCUUGGCAGCAUAAAGGGUCAGCAGUUACCAUCUCACACGUCACUCUCAGAGUUCUCUUGCUACAUGACCACUCUUUUUAAAUGAAUGGAAAACUAUUUUUAACUUCAGUUAUUGUUCAUUUAGAAUGGAAAAAAAAAUGUGCUUCAUCUGACCUUUACUGAUUAUUUUCCUUUUGCUUCAUAUAAUGAUGCAGAGAGAGUCCUUACAAUGAAUUCUGUGUUUGAACAAACAAACAAACAAACCCCAAUUUACUUGUCACCUAGUUCUUCAUUUAUUUCUGGAAAAUCUACUCCCUAAAUCUUAUCAAGGAAUCAUAGACGAAAGCUAGCACAUUGUUUUGCUUAUUGAUUCUUCUGGUAAUUGUAGAGGUAAGAAUGGGGCCCUGACUGUGUCACGGUUAAGGACAGGGGUCCAGGAUGGCUCCUGAUGCCUGACUUUAUAGAAGAUUGCGGACCUCUGAAAUGAGCUUUGUUCCUGCUCAGGCAAGGCUUCAGAAGAUUUGUUUUUUUUUUUUUUUCCCAUUUGUAUGGACUUCCCACUUAGAACUUUCUAUUUUUCUAUAUCUUUAGAAGAGUUUUAUAUUUUAAGAAUCCAAUUAUUUAUAUUUUGGUGUAUUUAGAUUGGGCUGGGGGUAAAAGGCAAGAGACAAACCCAUAAAUAGCAAAAUUCAAGCUAGUGUAAUAAUUCAUCCAUAACCUGAAUAUCUGUGUUAAUAAUACGUGUUGGUAAAUGUCUCUCACAAUGUAUUUUUAAAUAAUUUCUCAUAUAGUUCAAGUAGAAUGUGACCUUUAUAAUUUUUUUUGGAAAAUCAAUUCAAUAAUGGGAAAAUACACUGAGAAAAUUCUAUUUUAAGGUCCAAUGGAUACUUCUUCAGGUAAUGUAUUCUUUCAUUUACAAGUUAUGCUUUACCCUUCUUCAUUUCAAAUAUUGAAAAAUAAGGAGGCUAUUGAAGAAGAAGAAGAAGAAAAAGAA